CAGAAUAUAGGGACUGGUUGCUUCGCUUAGGAUAGAAGAGGCAAAGAUUAGCAUGGUCCCUGCGUAAGGAUGGCACACACAAAUCGAGAAAUGGUCCAAAUUUUC